rnacentral:rRNA from 1 species
GUGGGGAAUAUUGGACAAUGGGCGCAAGCCUGAUCCAGCCAUGCCGCGUGAGUGAUGAAGGCCUUAGGGUUGUAAAGCUCUUUCAGUGGGGACGAUAAUGACGGUACCUACAGAAGAAGCCCCGGCUAACUUCGUGCCAGCAGCCGCGGUAAUACGAAGGGGGCUAGCGUUGUUCGGAUUUACUGGGCGUAAAGCGCACGUAGGCGGAAUGUUAAGUCAGAGGUGAAAUCCUGGAGCUCAACUCCAGAACUGCCUUUGAUACUGGCAAUCUCGAGUCCGGAAGAGGUGAGUGGAACUCCUAGUGUAGAGGUGGAAUUCGUAGAUAUUAGGAAGAACACCAGUGGCGAAGGCGGCUCACUGGUCCGGUACUGACGCUGAGGUGCGAAAGCGUGGGGAGCAAACAGGAUUAGAUACCCGAGUAGUCC